GGUAAAAUGGCUGAGGAUAGGUGAUAGAUUGUAAAUCUAUUAAGGAGAUUAAAUUCUUUUUUACCA
rnacentral:tRNA from 1 species